UUUGGGAAAGAGAUUGAUCCUGGCUCAGGAUGAACGCUGGCGGCGUGCCUAAUACAUGCAAGUCGAGCGAACUGAUUAGAAGCUUGCUUCUAUGACGUUAGCGGCGGACGGGUGAGUAACACGUGGGCAACCUGCCUGUAAGACUGGGAUAACUUCGGGAAACCGAAGCUAAUACCGGAUAGGAUCUUCUCCUUCAUGGGAGAUGAUUGAAAGAUGGUUUCGGCUAUCACUUACAGAUGGGCCCGCGGUGCAUUAGCUAGUUGGUGAGGUAACGGCUCACCAAGGCAACGAUGCAUAGCCGACCUGAGAGGGUGAUCGGCCACACUGGGACUGAGACACGGCCCAGACUCCUACGGGAGGCAGCAGUAGGGAAUCUUCCGCAAUGGACGAAAGUCUGACGGAGCAACGCCGCGUGAGUGAUGAAGGCUUUCGGGUCGUAAAACUCUGUUGUUAGGGAAGAACAAAUACGAGAGUAACUGCUCGUACCUUGACGGUACCUAACCAGAAAGCACGGGCUAUCACU
rnacentral:rRNA from 2 species